AUUAUGAUUUAUACCACAGCAUUACUACAAUACUAUCUUAAAGAUUCAAAAUUUGAUUUUAACUAAAUGCAUGUAGCUGUUCAUGUUUGUAAUACAUUAUUGCCGCCUAAAGAAACAGCUAUACAUGUAAUGUGUUGAAAAUUUUGCAUACGUCAAGGACGUGUUGUUAAUGACUCAUUUUAGUGCACAUUUAAGAACCCGCAAAUAUUGUUUUAUGUACAUAUUAUUUAUUUGAACUUUUUGAAAUGUUGUAUGUUUUUUGUUCAUGUAACACAAUGUGUAAUGUUUGGAUUUUAACCCACAGCGAGUGUUUUGCGUUUGAAAUAAAGAUUAUUAUAGAAAGUUUAAUCAUAUGUGUGUAUGUCUUUAAUCUUAAACUGUCCUCAAU
rnacentral:lncRNA from 1 species